rnacentral:rRNA from 1 species
UACAGAGGGUGCAAGCGUUAAUCGGAAUUACUGGGCGUAAAGGGCUCGUAGGCGGCCAACUAAGUCGGAUGUGAAAUCCCCAGGCUCAACUUGGGAACUGCAUCCGAUACUGGAUGGCUUGAAUUCGGGAGAGGGAUGCAGAAUCCAGGUGUAGCGGUGAAAUGCGUAGAUAUCUGGAGGAAUACCGGUGGCGAAGGCGGCAUCCUGGACCGACAUUGACGCUGAGGAGCGAAA